rnacentral:rRNA from 1 species
AAAACAUCUUCUCUUGUUUUAAUUUGAGAUAUGGCCUGCCCAAUGAAUUAUUUAAUGGCCGCGGUAUUUUGACCGUGCAAAGGUAGCAUAAUCAUUAGUUUAAUAAUUGUAAACUUGUAUGAAUGGUAAGACGAGGCAUUAACUGUCUCUUAUUUAUUUUUAGAAUUUAAAUUUUUAGUUAGAAUGCUUAAAUUUAAUUAUUGGACGAGAAGACCCUAUAGAUCUUUAUUAUUUAUGAUUUAUUAUUUUUUAGUUUAUGUUUUUAAAAAUUUAAUUAUAAUUUUGUUGGGGUGACUGGGAGAUAUUUAUAACUCUUUUUUUUAUAAAUCAUUGAUUUAUGUAAUGUUGACCUUGUUAUUAUUGUUAUAAGAUUUAGAUACCUUAGGGAUAACAGCGUAAUUUUUUUUGAGAGUUCUUAUUGACGAAGAAGGUUGCGACCUCGAUGUUGGAUUAAGAUAAUGUUUUGGUGUAGUAGCUAAAAUAAUAGGUCUGUUCGACCUUUAAAUUCUUACA